GUGAGUCAUCGAAUCUUUGAACGCACAUUGCGCCCGCCAGCAUUCUGGCGGGCAUGCCUGUCCGAGCGUCAUUUCAACCCUCAGGGCCCCCCAGGGGGACCUGGUGUUGGGGGACGGCCGCCCGCGCCGCCCCCGAAAUGCAGUGGCGACCUCGCCGCAGCCUCCCCUGCGUAGUAGCACAACCUCGCACCGGAGCGCGGAGACGGUCACGCCGUGAAACGCCCAACUUCUCAAGAGUUGACCUCGGAUCAGGUAGGAAUACCCGCUGAACUUAAGCAUAUCAAUAAGCGGAGGA
rnacentral:misc_RNA from 1 species